GAUGAAUGCUGGCGGUAUGCUUAACACAUGCAAGUCGAACGGACUCUUCGGAGUUAGUGGCGGACGGGUGAGUAACGCGUGAGAAUCUGGCUUUGGGUUCGGGACAACCACUGGAAACGGUGGCUAAUACCGGAUGUGCCGAGAGGUAAAAGAGAAAUUGCCUGAAGAUGAGCUCGCGUCUGAUUAGCUAGUUGGUGAGGUAAAGGCUCACCAAGGCAGCGAUCAGUAGCUGGUCUGAGAGGAUGACCAGCCACACUGGGACUGAGACACGGCCCAGACUCCUACGGGAGGAAGCAGUGGGGAAUUUUCCGCAAUGGGCGAAAGCCUGACGGAGCAAUACCGCGUGAGGGAAGAAGGCUCUUGGGGUGUAAACCUCUUUUCUUAGGGAAGAACAAAAUGACGGUACCUAAGGAAUCAGCAUCGGCUAACUCCGUG
rnacentral:rRNA from 1 species